CCUACGGGAGGCAGCAGUGGGGAAUAUUGGACAAUGGGGGGAACCCUGAUCCAGCCAUGCCGCGUGUGUGAAGAAGGCCCUCGGGUUGUAAAGCACUUUCAGUGAGGAAGAACGCCUGGUGGUUAAUACCCAUCAGGAAAGACAUCACUCACAGAAGAAGCACCGGCUAACUCCGUGCCAGCAGCCGCGGUAAUACGGAGGGUGCGAGCGUUAAUCGGAAUUACUGGGCGUAAAGCGCGCGUAGGUGGCUUGAUAAGCCGGUUGUGAAAGCCCCGGGCUCAACCUGGGAACGGCAUCCGGAACUGUCAAGCUAAAGUGCAGGAGAGGAAGGUAGAAUUCCCGGUGUAGCGGUGAAAUGCGUAGAGAUCGGGAGGAAUACCAGUGGCGAAGGCGGCCUUCUGGACUGACACUGACACUGAGGUGCGAAAGCGUGGGUAGCAAACAGGAUUAGAUACCCGAGUAGUC
rnacentral:rRNA from 1 species